rnacentral:lncRNA from 1 species
AUAUAUAUAUAUAUAUAUAUAUCUUAAUCCAAUGAUAUGAUAGAUAUCAUGCCCUCGAGGGCAUGAUAUCUAUCAUAUCAUUGGAUUAAGAUAUAUAUAUAUAUAUAUAUAUCUUAAUCCAAUGAUAUGAUAGAUAUCAUGCCCUCGAGGGCAUGAUAUCACAACAAAAGCUAGAAUCCCGUAAGUUUAGUUGCUAGCUGUGGCAAUUUAUACUAGAUCCCAUAUACUUCAAGAAUCCUUAUUUUAAAAUCAAAAAAAGUUAUAGCAAAUGAAUCAUUUAUUUAAUACAGUUUUACCUGCCAUCCUUAACUUAUGAGAAAUUUUAAACUCGUAUCCUGAAAAUUUAAGUUCUAGUUCUUACAAUUGGAAUUAGAUAUAUCAAAUUUCUUAAAAGAUAGUUUUAAACUUCUUUAAAUCUAAGAAGAUGUGGCAAUUUGAGGUUUGAGCAGUAUUAUCGGUAACUUUAAACUGUUAAAACUUUAUAAAACUAGUAUUUCAUUUGAUACAGCUUUUUUAUAUUUUAAAAUAAAGAUUUUUGAAAUUUAUGGGAUCUAGUUAAAAUUGCCACACCUAGUAACUAAACUUGCGGGCUUCUAGCUUUUGUUGUGAUAUCAUGCCCUCGAGGGCAUGAUAUCUAUCAUAUCAUCGGCCUGAGAUAUAUGUUCAUAGUGGGUUCACUAUGAACACACAAAAAUCGGUAACCUAGAUGAAAAAAUAAUGAUUCUCAGGAACCUAGUUUGUGAUAAGGUGGAUGGUGGUGGAUGGUGGUAGUAGAGUUGGAGUGUAGAGAGGUAGGUUCCCGAUUUUUGUGUGUUCAUAGUAAACCCACUAUGAAAAUGUUCAUAAGAUCGGGAUGAGAUAUAUAUAUAUAUAUAUAUUAAUCCGACCUUAUGAUAAUUAACAUUUUGCGAGAAAAAUGAUAGUUCAAAAAUUGGAAACCUACUUUUUAAUAUCCCAGUCCUACUAUAAUCAGCCAAUCUCAACUUACCAGGGGGAUCCUAACUCACCAGGGGUGACCCAAUAUCAUAAAUUAGGUUACUAAUCUUUAUUACUUUUCUCAACUAGGUUUCCGAUUUUUUGACCAUCGUUGUUAUCUUAAAACGAUGAUUAUCAUCGGGUCAGGCUGAUAUAUAUAUAUAUCUCUCUCUCAACUCGAUCUUAUGAGAGCUAUCAUUUGCCUCGCAAAAUGAUAGCUCAACAAAAGCUACUAUUUCGAAGGUUUAACUGCUAGCCGAGGCAAUUUAUACUAGAUUUGGUAAAUUUGAUGGAUCUUUAUUUUUAAGUACGUGAAAGCUAUAACAAGAAAAUAGGUAGAUCACUUGUCUUUUACUUACCAACUUUUACUUAUAAGAAAUUUUUUACUACUAUCCUCAGAACAUUAGUUCUAGUUCUCAUAUCUAGAACAAAAUUUAUCAAAUUUCUUAAAAGAUUGUUUUUAAGUUAACUAAACCUAUAGAAAUGUGGCAAUUUGCUCUUUUGUAGAGAAUAGGUCGUAAUUUUAAUAUUUAAAACUUUGGGAAACUAGUAAUCCGUUUACUACAGCUUUUCUAAACUUUAAACUAAAGAUUUGUGAAAUUCACCAUAUCUAGUACAAUUUGCCUCGGCUAGCAGUUAAACCUUCGAGAUAGUAGCUUUUGUUGAGCUAUCAUUUUACGGGGCAACUGAUAGCUCUCAUAAGGUCGAGUUGAGAUAUAUAUAUAUAUAUAUAUAUAUAUCUCAUCCCGAUGAUAUGAAAAUACUCAUAUCUCAGGAAGCAUGAGUAUUCAACAAAAGCUACAAGCCUGAAGGCUUAGCUGCUAGGUGUGGCAAUUUGUACUAGAUCUCAUAAACUUUGAAGAUCUUUUAUUUAAAGCAUUGAAAAACUUUAGUAAUAUAUCAGGUAGUUCGCCUAUAUUUUACUUGCCAGUUUUAGCUUGCUGCAGGAUUUUUACCUACUAGCCUACGAAGUUAAAUUCUAGCCCCAAUAACUAGAAAUAGAUCCAUUACUUAUCUUAAAAGAUAGUUUUUAAGUUCGAUAAGGCUAAAAAAAUGUGGCAAUUUGAUCGUUCAUAGUGUAUGGCCGGCAAUUUUUAACAGUUAAAACACUCGAUAACUAGCAUUCCAUUUACUAUAGCUUUUUAAUAUUUUAAAUUAAAGAUCUUCAAAAUUUACGGGAGNAAGAACAAUAUCGAAAGUGCGUGAAAUUUGAUUUCUAGGUAGUUUAAAUGGUUUAGAUCAUAUUUAAUGGAGCCGAUCGUCAAUUUGGAAGCUCUAUCAUCGAAAACAACUCGAUAGUAAAACGCUCCGUUUACUAUCGAGAGUAUUCUAGCUCAACUCUAUAUAUAUAUAUAUAUAUAUAUAUAUAUAUAUAUAUAAUGAUAAUUAUUGUGGAUAAUUCUGCUUCACAUAUUGAAUUGACCAAAAUUAAUUAUGUAUAAUUUUUUUUGGCGUAAUGGGAUAAAGGUUGCCCUUAGAAACAGGCCCACUGAUGUUCUAUUGGUUGAUGACGCUAGAAACCUCUAGGGUCUUGUUUGUCUCGCAUGUGGUCUUGUCAUUAAAAGAAGCAUUUGACUCCGAACUUUGACUCUAUGCACUUCAGUAUAGUUUUGGCUAUCGGGUGCGCGCAUGUUAAUUUAUUAAAAAUUUUGAAAAUAAAAGAUUGAGCAUGUGUCUAGAAAAGUAUACCAUGUAUAUUAUUAAUUGAUUGUAUUAUUUAAAUUGUAGUUUAAAUUGCACCAAAAAAGUUUCUAAUAGAUGUCUUGAAGGCCGAGACCUUGCAAGGGACAAAUUAUGACAUGUGACAGUGCAAGAUACAAUAUCUUCUCCACAAGCAGGGCCUGCUUGAUCAUCUUGUGAACUCAUUGGAGAAGCCGACUGAUGAUAGUCCUCUUGUAAUCUUAUAUAGUUUUUUCAUCAUUAAACAUAUAUAUUAUCUUUACCACUUUUGUUCGCAUAUGUCAUAAUUUAUUUUGUGCCUAUAACUCGUGCGAUGUAUAUGUGUGUUUUUAUUAGUAUACUCUAUGUGUGCAACAUAAUAACACAUGUCGCGCUAUUUUACAGCGUUGUGCCAAGUUUAUGGUGCUAAAUUAGUCGGCGAGCCAAGGUAUGCUUUAUCGCAGUUAGUACUUGCCUCUAAUCCCGAUAGGCUAGAUGAGACCAGGCUUGUGUGUUGCGCAUAGUUAGCCGAUCUGACCAUAUAAUCUUAGUCAAAGAUUGUGUUUUCGGGCAAAUCUUGGAUGCGACUAGGCCUUUGGGCAAGUCAUUUAGACCAAAUGUGAUCAAUGGCCUGAGCAUUGGGCAUCUCAAGUAAGACUUCUAGUAAGUCAAUUUCGGUCAAGCCGAAAUAGGGUUCUCAUAGUGAAUUGAGAAUUGGCAUGGGUGAUAGUAUAACACUCUAAUAUAUAUAUAUAGGUGAUAGUAUAACACUAAUAUAUAUACAUAUCACUCACUAGGCUCAUAGGAGACGGUAGGUGUUGCAUCUAAACUGUGUGGUGUAUUUUAUUUGCCUAUAAUUAUCUAAAGUCUCGUGGAGCACCUAUGAUACACACCCGACGUGUUGCACGUUCUCCAAGGCCUCACUACCUAAAGUGGCGUCAUCACCCUAGAAUCGUCGUUAUACAAUAUUUCAGUUGGUUUCAUAGGUAACCUUUGUGCCCAGUAGACUCGUCGUUCCUGUUCGAGUUAAAAAAAAAAGAAAAAGAAAGAGGAGAUAUAUAUAUACAAAAAAUAGUAGACUAAUUAGAAUAGGUGUCAUAUUCUACUUAGAUUCGAAUUCUUCAAAAUAUAUAUAUAUAUAUAUAUAUAUAUCGCGAUUAGAAGAUAUGAUAGAUAUCAUGGCCCCGAGGCCAUGAUAUCAGGGCAAAAGCUAGAAUCCCAUAAGUUUAGUUGCUAGGUAUGGCAAUUUUGACUAGAUCCCAUAAAUUUCAAAAAUCUUUAUUUUAAAAUAUAAAAAAGCUGUAUCAAAUGAAAUACUAGUUUGGUAAAGUUUUAACAGUUAAAAGUUACCGAUGAUAUCGCUCAAACCUCAAAUCGCCACAUCUUCUUAUAUUUAAAGAAGUUUAAAACUAUCUUUUAUGAAAUUUGAAAGAUCUAAUUCCAAUUGUAAGAACUAGAACUCAAAUUUUCAGGAUACUGGUUUAAAAUUUCUAAUAAGUUAAAGGUGGCAGGUAAAACUGUAUUAAAUAAAUAAUUCAUUUGCUACAGCUUUUUUUGAUUUUAAAAUAAGGAUUCUUGAAGUAUAUGCCAUCUAGUAUAAAAUCACACACCUAGAAACCAAAAUAGCGAGAAUAUCACCGGAUUAAAUCUAAAAACAUAAACACAGAUAGACAUAUAUAUAUAUAUAUACANNNNNNNNNNNNNNNNNNNNNNNAUUGAAAGAAAAAAAACAGAGAAAAAAGGAAAUAAAAAAAAUGAGGGAAAAGGAAAUAAAAAAUAGAGAGAAAAGGAAAUAAAAGAAAGAGAAGAAAAGUACAGAGGAGGAGAGUCACCUCCCCCGAUUCGUACAGGGGAGGUGAGCUCACCUCCCCUCUUCCCUCUUUCCAAAUAGGUAAAUAAAAAAAAAUAAAAAAAAAGAGAGAAAAAAAGAAAGAAAAAAAGAAAGGGUGCCAACCUCUUUCCUUUAAAAAAAAAAGAAAAAAAAAAGAGAAAAAUGAAGGAAAGUAUUCAAAAUAAAACAAAAAAGAGAAUAAAUUAGUUGAUUGAGGUUUGUUUCCUCAAUAAGUUGAUUUUUAAAUUAUUUCCAAAUGAGAAUCAUUUUUGAAUCCCAUAUAAAAAUAAGAUCCAAACUUCGAAAAGGGGCUACAGGAUUUUUUUUUGAGGAGAAGAAAGAAAGUAGAUUUGAAGGAGAAAAAAAAAAGAACCCGAGAGAAAACAGAAAGGUGAGAAUUUUUUUUUUUUUAACUCUUCCUCUUCCUCUCUCUCUCUCUCUCGUGCACAUGCACGAAGGGGUGAGCCCGUUUUUAGGCUUGCUGGCAGAGGGGGUGCCAUGUGCACCCCCCUCAUUUGUCCAUACCAUAGCAAAAAAAAAAAAAAAAGAAAAAGAAAAAGAAAAAAGACUUUGGCUCUUGCAUUCGACUACGACUUCGACAACAACAAUCACGACGACUUCUAUGACAAUAAGAGAUAUGCAUGCAUACGAAUAGCGUAAGUGUGAUUUUCCUGUCGGUUUGAUCAACCCGACCAUCUUCGUGAUAGGUUUUGAACCGAUCAAAUUUGACAUCAAAUCGUCACUUUCGCCGUACAUAUGCAUCGCUACUCUCUAAACCGUGCGGCCAUCUUCGCGAUAGGCUCGACAUGGUCAAAAUGGUUGAUCGAGCACCGGAUAUUUUACUACGUAAACCGUGCGGCCAUCUCCGCGAUAGGCUCGACAUGCUCAAAAGGGUUGAUCGAGCGGCCAUCUUCGUGAUAGGCUCGACACGAUCAAGCCCGUUUAUUUUACUACGUAAACCGUGCGGCCAUCUUCGCAAUAGGCUUGACAUGGUCGAAAGGGUUAAUCGAGCGGCCAUCUUCGUGAUAGGCUCGACACAGUUAAACCCUGCGUACUUGAACAAAACAUGAUAAAAAAAUAUAUACAAUAAUAAAAAUGAUAAUAAAAAAAAUGGACGAGUACUGUUUUGAUUCACCAUCUUCGUGAUAAGCAUCGCCAUCUUCAUAAGAGGCUCGACGUGAUCAAUUUCGUAUAUUUGGACCAAAAAAAAAGAUAUGAAUAAACAAAUAAAAAAAAUGGAAAAAAAUAACAAAAAAAAAGAGAAAGAAAGAAAGAAAGAAAAGGAGAGCACUCCUCCUUCUCUCUCGGUUCCGUACACAGAGAGGGAGAGGGAGUUGGGUUUCUCUCUUUCUUUCUCUCUGUCUCUCAGUCAAAAAAAAAAAAAAAAAACAAAACCUGAGGAGUUGGGUUUGAAUUAUUUUGAAAAUGGCCCAAUAAACAAUUUCAUGAGCAGUCAAAAAAUAAUAAUAAUGCAGAGCCCAUAUGCAAAUUCGGGUCCAAGGCCCAAAACUUGUAGAGCCCAAAAUUCAGACUACAUACAAGUUCGGACCCAGGAUAUUAAAGCCCGAAAUCCAUCUCAGCCCACAUGUAGAUUCGGGCCCAAAUCAUAUAAGAUCCAAAAUUAUCUCAGUCCAUAUACAGAUUUGGGUCUAAGGCCCAAAAUUUGCAAAGCCUGAAAUCUAUUUCAGCCCNAAAAGAACAAAAAAAAAGGAACAAAAAUUUGAGGAAAUGGAUUUGAGCUAUUUAAUUUGAAAAUGGUUCAAUCCAUCAUUUACUUACGGGCCCAAUGAACAAAUUCCAUAAGCAAUCCAAAAAAAAAAUAAAAUAAAGCACCAAGCCCACAUGUAGAUUUGGGCCCAGAACACUUAAGUCCAAAACUCAUCACAAUCCACAUGCAGACUCAAGCCCAGAACAUCUAAAGUCCAAAACCUAUGUCAGUCCACAUGCAGAUUCGGGUCCAAGGCCCAAAACAUGUAAAGUCUGAAACCCAUCUCAGCCCACAUCCAGAUUUGAGUCCAAAACCAAUGAAAAUCCAUAUAAAUAAACUUCUCAACUCAAAACCCAAAAUCCACAAAUAAAAUCCCAAAACCCAAAGUCCAUAAAUAAGAUCCAAAAUCCAAAGUCCACAAAUAAAAUCCAACCAAAUCUACCAAACUUAUGUCAUCCAAAUGCCUCCAACCCAAACCGAAUUCAUGGGCUUUCCAAAUAGGCCCCUUAUUAUGAAUUAAUUCUAUGAAUUAAAUUUUAAGGGUUUUCCAAAUGAGCCCCCUAUCACGAAUUAAUUAUAUGAAUUAAUUUCAUAAGUUGGUCAAAUGGGCCCUCUUAUUAUAAAUUAAUUUCAUGAACCCAUUUCAUGGGCUCUCCAAAUGGGCCUAUGUCAUGAACCCAAUUCAAUGGGCUUUCUAAAUAGGUCUCCAUCAUAAAUUAAUUUUAUGAACCCAUUUCAUGGGCUCUCUAAAUGGCCCCUAUCAUUAAUUAAUUUCGUCAAUUAAUCUAAUGGACUUUACAAAUGGGCUCCUAGCAUGAAUUAAUUUUAUAAACCAAUUUCAUGAGAUUCAACUUCAACCGACCGCCAUGUCAUUAAACUGAGCAACUCAAUAUAAAACCAACUGUCAUGUCAUUAAACUGAGUACCAAAACUUAAACCGACUGCCAUGUCAUUAAACUGAGCAACUCAAUUUAAAAUCGACCGUCAUGUCGCUAAACUAAGCAUCUCAACUUCAAUCGACCAUCAAGUCACUAAACUGAGCAAAUCAAGUUCAGAUAUGACCGUCAAGUCGUUAAACUCAACAAAUGAAUGUUAAGUCAUUAAACUGAACAUUCGACCGCCAUGUCAUUAAACUGAGCACCAAAACUCAAACCGACCGCCAUGUCAUUAAACUGAGCAUCAAAACUCAAACCGACUGCCAUGUGCUAAACUGAGCACCUCAACUUCAAUCAACUGGCAUGUCGCUAAACUGAGCACCUCAACUUCAAUCGACCACCAUUUCGCUAAACUGAGCACCUCAACCGUCAAGUCGUUAAAUUGGACAAAUGACUAUUAAGUCAUUAAAAUGAACAUUUGACUGCCAAGUCAUUAAAUUGAGGAAUCAAAUCAAACCCUUUUGACUGCCAUGUCGUUAAACUAAGCAAUCAUAUUAAACUCGUUUUGACCGCCAUGUCGUUAAACUGAGCAAACCAAUAUCAAACUCUCUUUGACCGCGAUGUCGUUAAACUGAGCAAAUUAAAAUUAAACUCCUUUUGACCGCCAUGUCGUUAAACUGAGCAAAUUAAAAUUAAACUCAACCUCAACCUAUUUCAAACGACAGCUAUGUCAUUAAACUGAGCAAUCUGAUCCUAAUCGACCAUCAAGUCUAUAAACUGAGUAUUUAGUUUUAUAAAAUCUAUGUACAGUGUGGGAAUGCCCCUGCUUAAGCCAUGUACACGACAAAUCAUAUUAAUAAAAUUUUAUUUGUCUGUUUGGUCUCUUUUAUUAUAAGUAUUUAUAUUCGGUCACUUAAUCGAGGGUUCCUUAACACUGAAAGUGUUAGGUAAUUAACAGCAGACUCUUGUGUCUGUUGGAAGCCAUGAACCUGUAAUCCUGAUUUCAAAAAUAAAAUUUAAACAAAUUUAAUCUGUACCAUGGAUGACCACUCGCCUUAGAAACACCUACGGCGGGGCCGGUUCGUUCGCGGCAGACAGUUCCAUGAUAGAGAGCAGUUGGCUGGUACCCGCUACUUUGAUUUACGCACUGAUGGUCAUGCUUAUAAUUCGGCCGAAUGAGUAUUAUGGAAAAACGAUUAGCUAUAUGUUUCUUUAACAUAGGCAAAACAAGAAGUAUCCAAUGAUUUAUACUUGAUUUGCAUGCACUUUGACCUCUGAGAAGCCUGGGCUUACCAUUUUUUACAGAAGAAAAUGAUGUAUUUUAAAUAACACUAUAUAUAUAGAGAGAGUCCGGCUACUAUGCUCUUAUGAGUAUGAUCGCCUUCGUACUUAUAACUCGUUUUCGAUGAUAGAGCUUCUGAAUCGACAAUCCAUACUGUUAAACAUGAUUUAGAACAUUUAAAACUUUUAGAAAUCAAAUUUCAUAAUUUUUCAACAUUAUUUACCUUAUGAUCGAAAGAUCUUAAAAUUGACAAUUUUUAACAGUCGGUAUGGGAUACUUGCUAAUUCGAUGGUGUAAACAAAUCGAAAUUGGUUGAAUUUUUGAUAGAAAAUUAUAUUCACUAUCUAAAUAAAGAUUCAUAACUCUGAUAUUAAAUUGAAAAAUCCGAUCAUCUAUUUUUAAGAGGUUGUUUAAUUUUGACCAUUCAUUUUAUGCCUGCUUGAUGGACUUUAAAAUAAUUUAGAAAAAUUAUAAAAUUAUUUUCUAAAAGUUUCAUAUGCUUGAUAUCAUAUUUAACGGUAUAGAUCGUCAAUUCGAAAGCUCCAUCAUCAAAAAUAAUUUAUGAGUACGAAAGGAUCUAUACUGAUAAGAGUAUAGUAGCCCUACUAUAUAUAUAUAUAUAUAUAGUGAGGCUACUAUGCUAUCGGAAGCACGGAGCCUUCCGUGCUUCCAGCUUGUUUUCGAUGUUGCGAUUUUCGAAUCGUCGAUCGGCUCCGUUAAACUUGAUCUAGAGUAUUUGGAGUACCUAGAAAAUAAAUUUUAUUAUUUUUCGAUAUCAUUUGCCUAGUGAUCGAAGGGGCGUUCCAAAAUCAACAAAUUUCAAUGGCCAUAGUGAGUCUGUUUGCAAGUUUAACGGUGUAGAAAUAUCCAAAUCACCUAAAAUUUUGAUAGAAAAUUCUUUAUACUAUAUAAAACAAGAUCAAUAUCUUUGAUUUAAAUUUUAAUUUCAUAUUAUUAUGUUUUGUAAGAUUUUUAUUUUCAGCCGUUGAUUUUGAGCCCCUUCGUUCACUAGGCAAAUGAUAUCGAAAAAUCUUAAAAUUUAUUUUCUAGGUACUUCAAAUACUCUAGAUCAAGGUUAACGGGCUGAUCGACGAUUCGAAAGUCGCAACAUCGAAAACGAGCUGAAGCACGGAAGGCUCCGUGCUUCCGAUAGCAUAGUAGCCUCACUCUUUUAUAUAUAAUAUAUAUAGUAUAUAUAUAUAUAUAGAGCUAGUGUAUAUACUAUCUAUAGUACGAGCUCGGUACUAUGUGUUUGUUCGAUCUUAGGCGUCAAAUCAAUGAUCCACACCGUUAAAACUGAUCUAGGGUAUUUAAAGUUUCUAGAAAUAAAAUUUUAUAAUUUUUCGACAUAGUUUACUUUAUGAUCAAACUAUUUCAAAAUUGUCAAUUUUCAAUGGCUAUAUUUACAAGUUUGGAGUUUAACGGUGUAGAAGAAUCUAAAUUUCUUCAAAUUUUGAAGAAAAUACUUUAAACUAUAUAGAUUAAGGUUAAAUAUCUUGAUCUUAAAUUUAAAGUCCUAUACUCAAAUUUUAAAGAUUAUUCAAUUUUCACCGUCCAUUUUGAUAUAAUUUAUUUACUAAGUAAACGAUAUCGAAAAAAACUAAAAUUUUAUUCCUAAGACAUUCAUAUACCCUAGAUCAUAUUUAACGGUGUGGAUCAUUGAUUUGAACGCCCUAAGAUCGAAAACAAACACUAUAGUACCGGAGCUCGGUACUAUAGAUAGUAUAGUAGCCUAAUUCUAUAUAUAUAUAUAUAUAGUAGGUCUUGUGUGCUAUUAGGAGCACGGAGGUCUCUGUGUUCCUAAACUGUUUUCAAUGAUAGAGUUUCUGAAUCGAUGAUCAGCUCCGUUAGACUUGAUCUAGCAUAUUUGAAGUAUCUAGAAAUUAAAUUUUGCGGUUUUUCGAUAUCAUUUACCUAGCAAUCGAAAGGGUUCAAAAUCAACGGCUGAAAAUAAAAAUUUCACAAAAAGUAGUGAUAUAACACUAAAAUUUUCGAUUAGAGAUAUUGAUCUUGCAGUAAAUAGUAUAAAGAAUUUUCCAUCAAAAUUUUAUCUGAUUUGAAUACUUCUACACCGUUAAACUUGCAAACAAUAUACAUUAACCAUUAAAAAUUGUUGAUUUUGAACACUUUCGAUCACUAGGUAAAUGAUAUCGAAAAAUUACAAAAUUUAUUUUCCAAAUAGUUCAAAUAUACUAGAUCAAGUCUAACAGAGCCGAUCGUUGAUUCGGAAGAUCCAUCAUCGAAAAUAGCUUACGAGCACGGAGGCCUCCGUGCUCCUAAUAGCACACAAGACCUACUAUAUAUAUAUACAUAUAUAUAUAUAUAUAUAUAUAUAUACAUAUAUGUAUAUAUAUACAUAUAUAUAGAGUCCAGCUAUAGUGCUUGUAAAAGCACCAAGCAUUUGGUACUUGUAAGUUUUUUACCGUUAAAUCUACUCCUCGGAUCAUUUUCAACCAUUAGAUUAUACUAUUCAACCAACCGCCCACUCAACCCUAGGUGGUCCAUAUCAUCCUAACCGCAUAUCUCUUAAUCUAAUGGUUAAAAAUUUACAAGUACCAAUAACUUGGUACUUUUAAAAGCAUAGGAGCUCAAUUCCAUAUAUAUAUAUACAUAUAUGUAUAUAUAUAUACAUAUAUGUAUAUAUAUAUACAUAUAUGUAUAUAUAUACACAUAUAUGUAUAUAUAUACGAAUUAGGCUGGAAUACUAUUAGCAGUAAAACACUCAUUUUACUAUCAAGUUUUUAACCCUUGGAUGAAAAAUUGUAGGGUUAGGAUGAUAAUAAUCAGUUAGAGUUGAAUGGUCCCCCAGGGUUGAGUGGUCCCCACUGGGUUAUAGUAUUUAAUCCAAUGGUUAAAAAUAAUAAAAAGAGUUGAUCUAAAGGCUAAAAAACUAGUAGCAAUAAUGGGAUUUUGCUACUAAUAGUAGCCCAGUCCAACUCUAUAUAUACACAUAUAUAUAUACAUAUAUGUAUAUAUAUAUAUAUAUACACAUAUAUAUACACACACACACAUAUAUAUACAUAUAUAUACACAUAUGUACACAUAUAUACACAUAUGUACACAUAUAUAUAUAGAGUGAAGCUACUAUGCUAUCGGAAGCACGGAGCCUUCCGUGCUUCCAGCUCGUUUUCGAUAUUGCGACUUUCGAAUCGUCGAUCGGCUCCGUUAAACUUGAUCUAGAGUAUUUGGAGUAUCUAGAAAAUAAAUUUUAUUAUUUUUCGAUAUCAUUUGCCUAGUGAACAAAGGGGCUCAAAAUCAACGGCUGAAAAUAAAAAUCUUACAAAAUAUAAUAAUAUGACAUUAAAAUUUUAAAUCAAAGAUAUUGAUCUUGUUUUAUAUAGUAUAAAGAAUUUUCUAUCAAAAUUUCACGUGAUUUGGAUAUUUCUACACCGUUAAACAAGCAAACGGCUCAUAUAGGCCGUCAAAAAUUGUCGAUUUUACGACACUUUGAUCACCAUGUAAACCAUUAUCAAAAUUUAUGAAAUUUAGUUUCUAGAUAUUUCAAAUACUCUAGAUCAACUUCAACGGCUCCGAUCAUCGAUUCGGAAUCUCGA